GGGGUAGUAAAGGUUUCGACAGGGGUCUUGCAGCUGGAGAAGCUAUCCGUAGCCAAACGUUAGAUUGCAAACUUAAAAUUAAACGCUGAAGAUACUCAGUACGCAUUUGCAGCGUAAGCUGUAAGUGACGCGCCUUCGUGGCGCUUGUCCGUUCCGGGGCACUCACACUUCGGAGUACGGGCAUCGACUAUGUGAGAAACGACUUGUGUUAAGCUUUGCGCACAUGGGCGUAUGAUGAAGCUACCGAUAUAAUCAGGGUGUUCGUUUCCUGCUUAUAAAGGGAACAGGUGGGGGAGAGCUCCACCGGGAUAACGGACUAUGAUAGUAGAAGGACAGGGAAUGGGCUUUUGGACACGGGUUCGACUCCCGUCUACUCCAU
rnacentral:tmRNA from 1 species